rnacentral:tRNA from 1 species
UCUGAAAUAGCUCAGUUGGUAGAGCGUCAGACUACAAAUUGAAACGUCCUUGGUUUGAUCCCCAGUUCUGGCA